AGACGUCUACAUUACGAUACCCCUGUAGUCCCAGCCGUAAACUAUGCGCGUUAGGUGUAUCGGUGACCACGAGUUACCGAGGUGCCGAAGGGAAACCGUGAAACGUGCCGCCUGGGAAGUACGGUCGCAAGGCUGAAACUUAAAGGAAUUGGCGGGGAGCACCACAACGGGUGGAGCCUGCGGUUUAAUUGGACUCAACGCCGGGAAGCUCACCGGAUAAGACAGCGGAAUGAUUGCCGGGCUGAAGACUCUGCAUGACUAGCUG
rnacentral:rRNA from 1 species